GCCUGGGUGGCUCAGUUGUUUGAGCAUCUGACUGUGGCUCAGGUCAUGAUCUUACGGUUUGUGGGUUUGAGCCCUGCCUUGGGCU
rnacentral:tRNA from 1 species